UCCUUUCUCCAUCUUUAUGUUAUUUUCCGUUAUGUCUUCUGGUUUUAUCGGCACGCUUCCGGGGACUCUGGGGAGACAAUCACAAGUGACAAUCAUCCGGUCUUGCACUAAAUCGAGCCUUCGACGCGUGCGCCAUUGCUCAUUCCCAACCCCUGACUUACAGACCGACUAGAGGAUCGAGGAUCGUGUUUACUCGCGGCUUGUCCGUGAACACACACGCGUGCCUCUCUGUUAUCCUGUUAAAAUAUUUUUCCUAUCUAACAAGUGUUUAACAAGUGUCGUCCAAGUAUAUCUGAAAUAAACAAUUAUCUACUGAAAAGUUUGUUUCUCUUUCUAAUAAAGUGGGUCAACAUUCACAUCAUCGUCAUUACCACCAUCAUCAUUAUCAUCAUCAUCACCAGAAUCGUGCUAAAUGGCAUUGUGUAAAAACGUGACAUAAGUGUACCUUUUUUUGUAUUUAACUUGCAUUAUUUAGUCUCUAUUACAAGUCUAAAAACAUGUUAAUGACAUCUUGAGUUGUAAAUAAUGGUUCUCGAAAAGCAAGUAAGACACUUGUGCAACUAGUGAGCGUAUAAAAUUUUUUAUGUAUAAUAAAAAAAAAAUAACGACACUAUGGGAUACGAAAUGGUAGGAAAUUGAGUGAUAAAAAAGUGACGAUGGACACGAGAAUAAUUUCCGACAGUUCGAUAGGGGUACGAAAGAUAAGAAGAGCAAGAGGAGUGAAGGUGCACUAGGUCAUGAGUCGGCGCAUCUGCAAGAGCAGAAGAUUUUUUUCUUCAAAAAUAAUUCAGAACAAUGGUUGAAGAAAACUUAAUAAUCCAAUUGCUAACAAAAAGUCUGUUGUGAAAUGGAAUUUGAAUGAAAUGAUCUGGCUAAAGUUAUAAUCUCUGAAUGACUUGAGGAUUAUUUCAACUGAAAUAUUAUAAAACCUUGGAUAAAUAAAGUGGAAAAGUAAAUGAAACAAUAAUCGAGCAUGUAUGACAGAAAAAUAACUUGGUAAUGAAGGUGAUAAGGAAUUGAAAGAGAUGAAUUUCAAUGGCAAAUAAUUUAAAUGGAAAUUGAAUAUCAUCCUCAAGCUCAUUAAAUGCCAUUCAGAGUUGCAUAAACUGAUAAAACAAUAAUAAUUAAUAAUACAAAAUCAUAAAUAACUGAAAGUAGAGUAAUUAAAAAUUUUCAAUAAAUGACUAACAAUGAAUAAAUCACAAUUGAAGAAUGAAAAAUUCAUGAGAUAAUUCAUUUAAAUGGCAAGGUAGCAGUAGACACCGAAGACCUCGGUGAUGACCCGGCGUAAGUAACGCCAAUUGUCACCGGGAAGAGUAUGACACGGUGAUGCCGUCGGGUUCAAAUGUCGCAGACAAAGCCGUAUCGACGGAGGAUGCGUCGGAGAUGGUGUGUCUUAAUGCGGUUUUGGCCGCCUUAGUUGAGAAUAAAUUGCAAGCUAUAAGAGCUGCUACUGCGUCUAAACGUCGAUGGGGAAGGCUGCCAUUUAGUUUUAAAAAGUCACGAUUAUCUCCUUCAGCAGUAUCAUCAUCUCAUAGUCAUUGUUGUUGUCAUCACCAUCAUCAUCAUCAUCAUCAUCACCAUCAUUCCCAUGAGAAGCACAAACAUAAAAAAGACUACAAACAUCAGAAGAAUCGUGAAAGACGCUUUGAUUCAGCUCCUCGUCAAGAAUUUAUUGCAGACCAAGAUAGGAGGACGCAUCGUGAUGAUUCAAGAGAUCGUCGAAGAAUUAGGGAAGAAGAGGAAGAAGAAAGUCUCCAAAGAAUACGAAGAGAACUUCGGAUUUCUAGUAUUCCAUCACCGAAUGAUACAUCUAUGGAUAUAGACUCUCCUAUAGAAUUAAUGAGUCUCGAUGGUAUUCCGGACUUUGGAUCCCUGGUUAGGUUGGAUCGUGAUCAUGAGCAGCUUUUUGAUAACAGUGAAGAUUAUCCUGGGCUACACCGAAGUGCCUACCUAUCUCAAAGCGACCCUUUCUUGUAUAUUGAUUAUGAUGACGAAGAUUAUAUGGCUUUAGACCUAGCAGAUGAACUGGAAGAGCUGGAAGACUCAUUAUACUAUUCGGACAUUGUCAUCAGAGACUCACCACAAGAGCAGGACCAUCCACCACGUCGGAAACGGAAGCGAAAGCAACAUCAGAGAACCACAGAAGCAUCAGAGGUGCCUGAGGUGAUGCUUGUUAAUCGUGAUGAACUGCCGCCACGAGCUAAAUGGACAAUUGUUGCCACUGCCUGUCUCCUAUUUGCUAUGUCACUUAUUCUCGUCGGGGUCACUCUAAGGAUGGCACCAAUUAUUGAUGACAUGGUUUCAGUAUAAUGGUGUAUUUUUUAAAAAUUUUGUUUUGGACUCCACAAAUGAAGACAGGGGAUGCGAGGUCGAGGGCAACAAACACGUCUUAAAUUAAAGACGCACGACUGUGAAUUUCCAGUCAGUAGCAAGAUUGCCGUCAUACAAAACAGUGGAACUGUGAAUAAUUUUUAUUAAGUUUUAAAAUUGAAUUUUUUCUACCUUAUGACGACUGGAUUUUUAAAAUAUCCAUCGUUGUAAAACUUUUUUAUUCAUUUUUUCAAUAACUGAUUGAUUGUUUACUUAAUGGAAUCAAUAGCCAGAAGCAAUUAUAUUUUUGGAAUUUACUGUAGUGUAAUAUGAAUUCAAUGGGAUUUGCCUAAUGGAAAAAUGUACUAACAGUUAAUAUAUAUUUAUGAGUAUUUAGUUUCAAGCGGAAAAUUUUCGAUCUCUAAAAAUAAUUCUGGCUAACAUCCAAAUAAGUUGUCUUUAGCUAAAAACUAAUUUAGAGAAAAAUCAGUUAUUUAAAUAAUCACUGUGACAAUUUUCGCAUUAAUAUUAAUAAUGGUUGAGACUCGAACAUCUACUGAGAGACAGCAAUGUAGAAGGAAAUUUAUUAUACCAAAUGGAAAGCUAGAAAAUAGAUUCUUUAAAUGAGAGGUCGUUAAUCCUACCAUCGUAUUUCUGGAAAAAGUCAGAUCUCUACAUCAAUAACGAACAGCUUAAAAAACUUUACAGUGACUUUCUUAUUCCUCCAAAGCUCACUGGCAAAGCUAUCAUUUAUUCAUUAUUUUUUUCAUUUUAUAACAUGAAAAGCUUCUUUUCAAUACUCUUCAAAUUUUAAAUAAUAAAUUUAAUCAUUGAAAAUAUUUCAUCUUCAAUAUAUUGAUCAACGAAUUUCUCGAGUUAAUUAAUAUUGAAUUUCAAGUUCAAACAUCGAAUCAUUUGGGCAGUAUAAAGUCUCGAGUUAUAUUAGAUGUGUCGGGGGUGUGCUUAAGCUACUUUUAGAUACGACAGACCAACGUCAAAACCAAUAACACGUCGUGUUUCUGACUUUACGUUUGACGUCUUAAACAUAUAAAAUUAUUCCCAUUAUAUUUUUUAUCAAUCAAGUAUUCUAAAUUAUUUAUUUGUCUUGCAAUUUUCUUCAAAAGAACAAAAGCUGCAGAAGAAGAAAAAGUAGAAACAAAAAAUAAAAAUUAAGUUUAAAUGUUUUUUUAAAAUUUUAUUCGUCAUUUAACGAGCUUGUAAAAAGUUUCCGCAAAGUUUUGUGGCCAAACGGAAAUGUGGCUGAAAAUGAGAGUCAUUAAAAGAAAAACUGUUGCACAGUCUGCUUUAACAUAGACCAUUAACCGAUAGUUAUAACACAAAUCCUUCAGUUUUGAUGUUUAAAGGAAAGGAAUAAAUAUUGAGAUAAUAUUUUUAAUGAAGAUUUAUAUGGAAUAUUAUUAUUAUAAUUUCGAAUGAAUAUUUUAAAAUGACAAAUGCUAAAGUUUUUAAUAUGUUAAGCUGUGAACUAUUUGAUAUUUCUCUCGUCCAUCCCUGAUGCAGUGGCCUAAAUAUGAGUGAACUCAUUUGAGCCCGUAUUACUCCGAGUUGACGGGACGAAAAUCAAAUCGUUACCUAUUUCAUAUCUAUAUGUAUUCAUGUACAUUCAUUCUGUGAAUAUAUCAGAAUAUAUUUGUUUCAAUAUUAUAAUUUAAUAUGAUC